CCACCACCCGCAGUUCCCCAGGCGCCGGGGCCACCUGUUGUCUUAGCUUGUGGAAGCUUCUUUUAUAGGGCUCCCUUUUUGGCCCUCUGCCCAGGUCGCCCCAUCUGCCCUGGAUUACCAGUGCGGUGCCCAGAUUUAUAUGUCCCCUAACAUUUCUCCCAGCCCCGCCCAAAGUCUCUCCACUCUUCCGUUGGCCGCCCCAGAGCACCCUCCGGGAAGCUGGGGUGAUGUGAGCAGAGGGUGGUCGGAGGUCUGGAUUGCCUCCCAAACCUCAGAGGCCGGGUGUCAACCUAUGUGUCUGUCCUUAUAGACUGGCUGUCUGCUACCUCACUCACUCAUGGCAAGGGCAAGUAAAAUCGAAGAGACUGCAGGCUCUCUCCUGUGUAAAACCGUUUUUUUUUUUCUUCAAAGUUUUAAAGGUUUUUAAAGGUUAGCAUCUCUGGCACUAUGGGGGCAAGAGGGUGGGUGGUCUUAAACUCAAUCUGGGGAAAGUCCUACAUAUGCUCUAGAGGCCAAUGCCUCUUCUAAUGAACUGAAGUCUACCUUCUUCUCAUUUCUGGGCUGGAGGGCUCCCGUGGAAUUUUGUGAUCCACAGAACUGCCUCCCACCUAUAAGAAGCCAAGCUAUCCCUAGAUGCUACCUAGAAUAAUGCUGUGAGCUGGUAAGAACCAGUAAUGACUCAGCACCAGCCUCUGCUCUUUCCCAGCUGGAACUAAAAGCAGAAGCUAGCUCCUCCGCAGCUGACGGCCACAUCCUUACCACAAACUGAGUUAUGGCCACACCCAGCCUGGAUGGAAAACUACCAGGAAAGGAGGGAAGUGCUGAAGAAUGAACCCAGAGCUUGAACGUGUGAAGCAGAAGUACUAGUGCUGAGUCACAGGCCGUUUUCAGAAAGCAUUCUUGAUUUUGGUUAACAUUUUUAAAUUUCAUGUUUUGAAUCAUAAGGCCUUAUGAACUUCUGAGAUCAGCUUUUUAGGAGAGAACUAUAAAAUGAUAUACAUAAUUUUAUUGAUAUAAAAAGGCCAUUAUUAUGUUGUGGGUUUAUUUCUUUUCUUCUUCUUUUCUUUUUUUU